rnacentral:rRNA from 1 species
AUACAGAGGUCCCAAGCGUUGUUCGGAUUUACUGGGCGUAAAGCGCGCGUAGGUGGUUUGAUAAGUCGGAUGUGAAAGCCUACGGCUCAACCGUAGAACUGCAUCCAAAACUGUCAGGCUAGAGUGUGGGAGAGGGAGAUGGAAUUAGUUGUGUAGGGGUAAAAUCCGUAGAGAUAACUAGGAAUACCAAAAGCGAAGGCAAUCUUCUGGAACACUACUGACGCUGAGGCGCGAAGGCGUGGGGAGCAAACAGGAUUAGAAACCCCAGUAGUCC